GACAUUUUGGUCUUUGUCCGCGGGAAGACAUAGGCCAAGGAGCCAGACUUCCUGUGUUAACUCCUUCCUCUGCCACUUUUUACCUUGGGGACCUCAGUUAAUAUGAUCCUCUGUUGAAGCAAGAAGACAAACUGUAUGGUGGAGAAAGAAGUGGGAAGGAUCUGCGCGGAAGAAGCCUGAGAAGAUGAUGCACAGAUAGAGAGGCACCAGGACUUGAGAGGCACCAGGACUUGGGAGGCAUGUUGAUCCAUCUCCAGGAAAGACUGAGAAAAAGAGCGUUGAAUAUAAGAAAAAAUACUUCCUCUGUUCUCAGAUCGUAUUUGUUUUAAGGCCACACCUUUUUGAAGUUUUCAGUUUGAAACACAACCUGGACUGAAAU
rnacentral:lncRNA from 1 species